CUGCCAACAUAUCAGAAAAAGCCCUACUCGCCUGGAUCAUCCUUGGUUAGUUUCCGGACUUAUGAAGGUGCCACAUUAAUCUGUUCAAACAAUUACACGCAACCAUAAACACCCAGAAGACGUCCAGCCGUCACGUUGUUCAGGAAGGAGACGGCUUACAGUGUUUUGGUCUCACUGCAGACCAAAAGCAGAAGAGUGUGUGGCGAUGGCGGCUCCAGCUGGCAAACGUGUCAUUAUACACAAUGAGACAUGUUUUCUACCAACAUGGACUGGAAGGCCAUCCAGCAAAGAGGAAGCCAUUAUUUCAGAAGCGACAUAUAAAACAAGACUAACAUCCAAAUUAGUGUCAGAGAAAAAAUGUUUAUGUAUUUUUUUUUUGUUGUACAGUGUAUGUAAAUAUCUGGUUUCAACUGUGCAAAAAAUUAAAUAAAAAUCUAGAUUUCAUUCAACCUACAACUUUAAAUACAGAAAAACUCUUACAAACUAACUUAAUCACAUGGAAAAAUAAUCCGGUUGACUCUACUGCUACUAAACUGGUCAAAUAAAUUAAGAGGAAAUUUUUGCACAUUGUUGUUUAACAUACAGUUCUGACCACAAGCUUUCAUUCAAUCACUGUUAGUAAGACGGUGAGCCGUUCCUUCUGAUUUAAACACAAUGUUUUAAUUUUAUCAACGUGUUUCUUCUGACCAGAAGCAAAGUUUAAUGUUUGGAGUGGCCCAGUCCAGAUUUCAAACUGAUAGCAAGUCUGUAAAGAGAACUAAAGGUUAGGGUGAUGGCAAGGAGUUUCCUACAAAAUAUGAAUACCAGUGGAAAUGUUCAAUUCAGGAAUAAACAUUUUUUAUCAAAUGAAAAUAACUGAAUCUACGUCACCCAGAGAUAUGAUAAAAAAACAAAAAAAGCGUUCAAAAAAAUCAUUAAAACACACAAAUAAACAUGACUUUCAUGCUGAUGAGUAUGAGUAUUGCAUAAUGAACUGUAUGUUCAUUGUGCAAAUCCAAUCAAACUGCUAAGUGUCAGAGCUAAUUCAAUCGCUCAAUGGAAAUGCUGAAUUAUUUUUCUACAAAUAAAACAAAUAUAUUUUAAGGCGGGGAUGGGGAGCCUCCUGGAGCCAUUUUAUUACUUUCAGCCAUUAAUAUUUAACAGUUCCUGUGCAGAAUCCUCAGCCAUGGUUUUUCUUAGCUGUGCAGUGACUCUGGGUCGAAUCGUUUCUACAGUCUCAAAGCUUUAUGAAAGU